rnacentral:rRNA from 1 species
GACGAACGCUGGCGGCGUGCUUAACACAUGCAAGUCGAACGGUAAGGCCCUUCGGGGUACACGAGUGGCGUACGGGUGAGUACCACGUGGGUGAACUGCCCCGCACUUCGGGAUAAGCCUGGGAAACUGGGUCUAAGACCGAAUAGGUCCACUGCAGGCAGGGGUGUGCGUGGAAAGAGUUUGCGGGGUGGGGUGGGCCCGCGGCCGAUCAGCUUGUGGGUGGGGUGAUGGCCUACCGAGGCGACGAAGGGUAGCCGGCCCGGGGGGGUGACCGCCCACCCUGGUACUGAGAGACGGCCCAGACUCCUACGGGAGGCAGCGGUGGGGAAUAUUGCACAGUGGGCGCAAGCCUGAUGCAGCGACGCCGCGUGAGGGAUGACGGCCUUCGGGUUGUAAACCUCUUUCAGCACCGACGAGGCGCAAGUGACGGUAGGUGCAGAAGAAGGACCGGCCAACUACGUGCCAGCAGCCGCCGUAA